ACGUUGACAGAAGUCAACUGUGUUCGCGUCUGUCAACAAGUUAAUACCUUCCCCUGUCAUAAUAGUUAGUCCUGCAGCGAUCAACACCGCCUACGAAGGGUAAAUUACAACAACACAGCGCUCUAAAUACUGAUCUGGAAUCAUUCAAGAGUGAUAUAGAGUUAAGAGCACAACUGGCAAUUACCCACCAGUCGUGUGUGGCUUGGCAAAUGUGGUUGUGUUUGUGAUGAUUCUAAUGAUCAUGAUGAUGAUGAUGAUGAAUCAUAUGUGUACGCGGUGAGAAAGCAAAAGUGAAUACUUACAGCUGCAAUGCGAAUGGCAGGCGCCUCAUAAAUAGUUGGAAACACGAAAAACGGCCUCCGGCAGAAGAGAAUUGCUGUCUCUCGUAAAAUUGUGUCGAAUUGUGUGAAAAAGGGAAGAAAUUGCACAUACGGGCUGCAACGUACAUCUCGCAAACGUGUAAUAGUGUGGUGUAUGCCUCUCUUGCGUGAAGGUGCAAAAUUGGUCACACAAAAUCAGUGGCCACGGUUUACAUCUGUGGAAGGGUGUGUGUGUGUGUAUGGUUUUUUAGCUCUGAUGAAAAGUGGUGAAAUAUUGUGAGUACGAUAAAUGGUUUAAAAAUAAGCUGCUCUUCCCGUUCCGGUGACUGCAAAAAUCCCGGCUCCCCCAGUUGUGCAUUUCGGCAGCAGCAUCGAGUUGCUGUGUGUAAUUUCGUUCAUCAAUCUUCAAAUAAACGACUUCAUUUCACGGGCUGAUCUUGUGCUGGUAGUAAGGUGCGUAUUUUGUGGGUCAUCAGUUCGAAAGCCACCGUAGGUGUGGUAGCGUAAGCCAUCAUUCCCCCACUGCUCGGUGGGAGAUUUAUUUUCUCCAUCACGCUUGUAAGUACACAUUUUGUUGCUGCCAAUUAAGCGCACUUUAUGGCACGCAAAUAGGGGUUACCAUCGGUAGCCCGGGCGGGCUAGGCACGUUUUGUGGGUGGCAUUCAUUUGGGGUCUGGCUGUGUGGCACGGUCUCGGCGUUUAAAUAUCGUUCGGAAUUGCGUUCGGUUUUCCGAGGAAAAUGUGUUUUCACUUCUUCGGCCGACCUUCGCUCGAUUUUUAUGUGCGUGUGGCAUGGUGAAGUUUUUUUUACUUUCCUUAAUUUUAGUGGUAAUGGUGGUGGUGGUUUUACGCUGCCGCCACCGCGAUCAGGUCCAUGACGUCAUGAAAGUUUACGAGUGAGACUCGAUCGGAAACCGGCUGCUGAUGAUACCGGAGUUGCGUUUCCGAACCGUCAUCACAAACCAUCAAUGUGCGUCCGAUCGCCAGGCAUGCAAACACAUCUGUUCGGUGGUGGUGUUAGUGGCAAGUGCUGGUAUCUCUGCUCGUUGCUUCAUUCGUCGGUCCAGAUGAACGAACAAAGUGCGGUUUUGCGAGUUCAUCGCAAGAAAAAUUUGAACAACGGAGAGCGCAAAAAGAAAUCAUCUGCUCUCGAUCUUGAAACUUUUCUAUCGCGCUUUCUUUCUUUUUCGGCAGCCCAAAAUGAACACGAUCGAGGGCGAUUUACGCACACAUCUUUACCGCGCCGGCAGAGAAGGUUUCCCUUUUGCAUAUGUGUUGUGGAGUCGUUCUGGAAUGUUAAUUCAUUGCACCCUUUGUCCUCUGCUCCGCUGCUGGUGGUGCGUCUCUUGUUGCUGCUCCCUUUUCGUAGUCGCGCGCUCCACCUGCGCGGCGAAGCAGUGCGCUCGCGGAAACGCAAAAGAAUGUGUGUCGCGCACACAAUGUGGGGCCCGGCAUACCGCGGAGUCAUCGAUGACAGGCGUGUCUAGGGCCGUGUUACGAUGGAUGUUGGUAAAAAGAUGGGUGGAAGAGGAGGGGACAUAUUGGACGAGAUGAAAAAAAAAACAGCUCACCCAUACCACCAUCAGGCCAAUCUCAAAGUCCUAUAUAUGAUCCGCUCGUUCGAUCGAGGUCUUGUGGGAGAAUACAAUGCGCCGGAUACCAACACACACGCGCACGAGGUUUUCAAUUUCAAUGAUCAGCGUGCCUUCGACGCAAAAUCUACUGACCUAAGCAAGACAAAUGCAAGAGGCGUGUGAUUUGAUAUUCG